UACGUAGGGGGCAAGCGUUGUCCGGAUUCAUUGGGCGUAAAGAGCGUGUAGGCGGCCAGGUAGGUCGGUUGAGAAAACUGGAGGCUCAACCUUCAGACGUCGACCGAAACCAUUUGGCUAGAGUCCGGGAGAGGAGAGUGGAAUUCCUGGUGUAGCGGUGAAAUGCGCAGAUAUCAGGAAGAACACCCGUGGCGAAAGCGGCUCUCUGGAACGGUACUGACGCUGAGACGCGAAAGCGUGGGGAGCGAACAGG
rnacentral:rRNA from 1 species